AACAAAAGAUGCUGCUGAGGGCUUUCACACUGUCUCUCAUGCUGGAGAAAGGGUGGCAUCAGAAGACACUGGUUUAAAUCCCAGUUUCUCCACGUAUAGCUGGUGAUCUUAGGCUCUGCGGAGGUCCCUCCGUGAGGUGAAAUGAGAUGAUGCAUACAAAGCGUCUGGCACAAGAGCUGCCACGUGUGCUCAGUAACGGUUUACUAUGAUUUACUGCUGUAUGAUCUCAGUCUCCUCAUACAUCCCCAGACUGUGGCACUGUCUGCGAGAAGGGUGGUCAGGGGAGGCACAGUCUAGCUGCCCGCUGGCUGCUGCAGCACCCGCUCAACUUUGCUCAGAACACAGGGGGUCAGGUCACUCUGCAGGACACCAGUCAGAACAGUGUUUGGGAUGGCCCAACUCUGGGUCUAUCAUACUUCUGCAAAAUACAGAUGACCUUGAGGCAUCUCUGAAGGGAAUGAAGGAAUAGGGAAACAAGCAUUUUGCCACUUGCUAAACAGCCUAGAAAAUGGGAAGAACAAGAAGGAUGGAGAUUCCUGGGCCAAAGUGAAAAGACUGCAGCCGGGGGUGGGGGGUGCGGUUUAGGGGGGAAUGAGAAUCUCAGGUUGGUGUUAUCACCUCCCUUGGCUGGAACUUGCGGGUAGGAGGCCAAAGCUACCAAUGUGGCACUAUCAGCUGUCGGUAUCUCCCAAAGGAGUGCAGGCAUCAGAAUUACUGGAGAAGCUCAAAAAAAAAAAAAAAAAAGGAUUAUUGGGCCUAAGUCCCUGAUAGCUUGAUUCAGUAGAACUAGAAGGGAGCCCAGAAGAUAAAUGAAGUUGGGCAGUUCUGCUGGUGAGCUGCCUACCUGCUGCAUGGCUGUCAGUUGAUAAACAGGCAGUGCCCGGGAGGCUGGCAGGUGACAGCUGCAGAGAUGUGCCUGUUCUAACUGCAGGACCAUGGGGCAUGAAGCAGGAGGAAGAGUAACAGCAGUGGGUGUGCCCUGAGCAUCCUUCGGUGCUACAGCAGCUGAUCGUCUGGUUCAGACCUGAUGUCCACCUUCUGGAAUUUCUGAUGUUCAAAGGCAGUGGAGCAGGAGAGAGAUCAUCGUGGGGAGCUGAUGGGUCUCGGGGCAGAUGGCACGGGGUCGAGAGUUUGGAGAAGAUAAUAAGAAGUGCUUGUCCAAAUACCAAAAUGCUGCCUCUCUGCUGUCAUCCUCUUUGGAAGCUGAGGAUGAGCAUUUGGAUGUCCAUUUAUUAUGCCCUAGAAGUAAAAGGAUGUUUCCCUUCUUUCGGAUUCCUGACACAACUUGCCUAUGAAUUGAAUUUGUGGUUUCUUCUCAAGUAGAUAUGGAAGAGUUGCCCAGAAGUGAACCUUUGAGGGAACAGUAAAUUAGGUAAACCAGUCCAGCAAGAGUCCUCUGGCAGCAACUCCAAGGCAAACCUACUGCUCCCUACUUAUAAGCAGGAAGGUGAUUUUUCUGAUUAUUGGUACUCCCAGUUUCAUCCUGGUUUAGACUUCUCUUAUCCUCAGGAGGGAGUUCCGAACCAGUGAGCAACUGGUGAAUAAGCGGAAGGACUUGCAGCUGAGCACCUGCCUGCUCAUUCUCCCUUUUCCUCAGCCACAGAGCGGUAAGGGCUGGGUGUUGUCGCGGAAGUGUAGGUGACUCAAGGACUCGCCAGGAGCAGAGCGGUAAAGGAAGUGGGACUCUGUUUUCACCAUGGCUGCAUACUAAUCAGAAGCGUGGCUUGCCACGGUGAGACCGAAAUCUGACUGACCACGGCAGCUGCAUUGAAACGAGCUUAUUAAUGAUCACUUUUGGCACACCCAGGGAAGCAACACAUCCACAGGCAUGUUUCAUAAGGUGCAGGCCACAGGGAGAAAUGGAAUCUCCCCCUCUUUCUGUGUUCCAAGGAAGAAAAGUAAAGGUCCGGGCUUCCCUGGUGGCGCAGUGGUUGAGAGUCCGCCUGCCGAUGCAGG